rnacentral:antisense_RNA from 1 species
CCAGAAACCACUUUCAGAAAGAGGGAAGACAGCACUUGAAGGGAAAGAGGGUAAAGAGGAAGGGAGGUUACAAUUGAGAGCACUGCAGAAGGAAGCGAUGCAGAUGUUGCCGCCCGGCUCUGGCAGUCCGAAGGAGGAACCCCACGCAUAGAAAAAAACAGAUUCAACUUGGUUCUAGCUGAAGUAUUAUCAACUCCAAAUAACGCUUUGAGGACCUCCAAAGCUGCUUUCCUUUGCCUGCAAGAGGUGUCAAGAUGAGUUUUGCCUGACUUCUUUGAUGUCCUGAACUUUCUGUAGUCCUUUUUUUUUCUUCAAUUUGUUCAUUAUAAAUUUAGCUUUGCA